GGCGGCGUGCCUAAUACAUGCAAGUCGUACGCUUCUUUUUCCACCGGAGCUUGCUCCACCGGAAAAAGAAGAGUGGCGAACGGGUGAGUAACACGUGGGUAACCUGCCCAUCAGAAGGGGAUAACACUUGGAAACAGGUGCUAAUACCGUAUAACAAUCGAAACCGCAUGGUUUUGAUUUGAAAGGCGCUUUCGGGUGUCGCUGAUGGAUGGACCCGCGGUGCAUUAGCUAGUUGGUGAGGUAACGGCUCACCAAGGCCACGAUGCAUAGCCGACCUGAGAGGGUGAUCGGCCACAUUGGGACUGAGACACGGCCCAAACUCCUACGGGAGGCAGCAGUAGGGAAUCUUCGGCAAUGGACGAAAGUCUGACCGAGCAACGCCGCGUGAGUGAAGAAGGUUUUCGGAUCGUAAAACUCUGUUGUUAGAGAAGAACAAGGAUGAGAGUAACUGUUCAUCCCUUGACGGUAUCUAACCAGAAAGCCACGGCUAACUACGUGCCAGCAGCCGCGGUAAUACGUAGGUGGCAAGCGUUGUCCGGAUUUAUUGGGCGUAAAGCGAGCGCAGGCGGUUUCUUAAGUCUGAUGUGAAAGCCCCCGGCUCAACCGGGGAGGGUCAUUGGAAACU
rnacentral:rRNA from 1 species